ACUCGACGACGACUAUUCUGAUGCUUCUAAGCUUCUUGACAUAUAUUUAUAUUGGCUGUAGAUUGGAGGGUGCUAGCAUCUUCAGACAUCAAAGUAACUAAAAUUGCAAGCCUAACAACUAAAACUUUAGAAGAAACAUUUACGGAGGUAAGGAAAUGAAGACAAGAUAAACGGUUCAAAGUUGGAGUCCAGGUCGUAUGGAGUAUAUGUAUGAUCUUUUGUAUAAAGUUGAAGGAUUUAUGAAAGUUGUAGCCCAAGUUGUAGCAUGCAGAGCAAUGUAACAAGAUUAUGUAGCAAAGAGAUUACUAUGAAGACAUGCCCUCGAAAUUCAGAGUUUGUUAAGCGGGUCGAGUUGUUAUUUUUCUUAUCUCACUUAUGAAGGUGUAACAUGAUAUACUUGAAGCCAUUGUAAAGCAUUGUGCUUUGGAGUAGAAUGUCGAGUUAG
rnacentral:lncRNA from 1 species